rnacentral:rRNA from 1 species
GACGAACGCUGGCGGCGGGCCUAACACAUGCAAGUCGAGCGGAAAGGCCCUGCUUUUGCGGGGUGCUCGAGGGGCGAACGGGUGAGUAACACGUGAGUAACCUGCCCUUGACUUUGGGAUAACUUCAGGCAACUGGGGCUACUACCUGCUAGGAGCUCCUGCUGCAUGGUGGGGUUUGGACAGUUUCGGCGGUUGGGGGUAGACUCGGGGCUUAUCAGCUUGUUGGGGGGGUAGUGGCUUACCAAGGCAUUGACGGGUAGCCGGCAUGAGAGGGUGACCGGGGACAAUGGGACUGCGGGACGGCGCAGAGUCGUACGGGCGGCAGCGGGGGGGAAUCUUGCACAAUGGGCGGGAGCCUGAUGCGGCAGCGCCGGGUGCGGGAAGACGGCUUUCGGGUUGUGAACCGCUUUCGGCUGUGACGAUGCGGGAGUGACGGUAAUGAGUGAAGAAGCACCGGCUAACUACGUG